GCAAAUAAAACAGUUUUUCUGAUAAACAAAGAGCUUAACUUCCUUAAUCAAUCUUGCCAUCAAUGUGUUUCAACCUCUAUAAAUUUACCGAAACGGCGAUUGGACAAUUUUCGAUUUACUUUCGCUCAAUUGGUAAUUUGGCUAGGGCCAAUGCCUUAACACUUCCGUUUGAAGUCAACGCUUUCUUUUUGCCAAUUGUUUUGCCUUUGAUUUAUGGCCUGACCAUUUGUCAAACGAAAUCAUAUUUUUACACCACGUUCUGCUUGACAGCGUUGGCGUUAGCGUCAGCGUCUACGCCGCAGUUAGCGUCUACGCCGCAGUUAGCGUCAACGUCGCAGCAGGCCAAAGCCCGAUUAAAUGACGCCAAAUGCGACACGAGGCAAAGCAACUGGACAGUGGCACAGUUGCAAGUUUUAAGUUGGCAACAAGUUGUGAACGCGAAAGUAAAGCAACAUGCAAAAAAGAAAACGAUGGAGGAAAAUUCAAAGCAAAACACGAGAAACGCCAAUUAAAAGGAAAAGCGAAAAUAAAUGUGUGUGUGUGUGGAAAAUCGAGCAAUGUGCAGCAAGAGAAACGAGCAAAAUAAAUGCGUUCAAUGCACCCAGCUUUUGUUACUCUAGCUCGCAGAUAAAGUAUCUGACGUUAGGACACACUCGACUGUUGUUUUCAUACUUGUUUCAUACACAUCUAAAUAAUCAAAAUAGAAAUAAGAAACUUACGUACUACUCGGAAGAAAUCAGAGGAAUGUCAACGGUAAAAACUCAGUAUUAAAUUAACUAAUUCAUUAAAACCCUCUUGAUAGUGCAUGUAUAAAUCUACAUCACACAAUUGACGGAAGACUUCUCACUCAAUGGAAAGAUCUUUAUCGAAUAAAUGCCGGAAGUCACAUAAAUGCUGAAACAUUUCAGAACACAAAUGUGGAAAUAUUUGUCAAGUUUCUCGAUUUGAUCUCCAGCAAUUGCCAUGGAACUAACGUAAAUUAAAGAUUUUUGCUAACCAUAUGAAAAUAACUGCACAGAGAAUGCAAAGUGGGAAGUUAUCGAAAGACUUUUGAUACAUAGAGGAUUGACUUGCGUGGUAUCGAAGCAAACCUCAAAAGAAUGCAGUGCCUGCAAAUUAACAUACAAAACUCAUUUUAUCAAUAAUGGGGUCGGUGGUACAGCAGACGAAACACACCCUGAAAACAGCGAAAACAAAUGCCCAUAUAAAUAUAAUGGCAUUUUUAACGGUGCUUUUUGGGGCGCUGCUUUUAAAGAAAUAUUUGAAAAAGCCAAACAAAAAUGUCAACAGCAACAACAAGUCUCGGCGAGGGAAACGCGAAGCUCGACUCUGUGCAGAUCCGAUUGCUGAAG